UACAGAGGCGGCAAGCGUUGUUCGGAAUUAUUGGGCGUAAAGAGCACGUAGGCGGCUGUGUAAGUCGGUUGUGAAAGCCUUCCGCUCAACGGAAGAACGGCAUCCGAUACUGCAUGGCUUGAGUCUGGUAGGGGAGUGCGGAAUUCCUGGUGUAGCGGUGAAAUGCGCAGAUAUCAGGAGGAACACCGGUGGCGAAGGCGGCACUCUGGGCCAGUACUGACGCUGAGGAGCGAAAGCUAGGGGAGCAAAC
rnacentral:rRNA from 1 species